CCAUACUUCACAGCAGUAAUCAAAAUAUGGGCGAACUAUUGCAUUAUAUACAGAAAGAAGUGUUUGCUUAUCAGCAAAUUCUUUUAAACGCCUAAGAGCCGAUAUUCCAGAUGUAAUUUUCUUGCAAAUAUUCUCAGUGUUAGUUUUCUAAGAUAAAUGCUGGUCAAUUGUCACUCCAAGAGUUUUAGAUUCAUAAACUUGUUUAAUUGACUCGUUUUCAAUUUUCACAUUUAGUUGCAAAUUUGAAAUAUUUUUUUAUCAUUUGUUUUGAAUCAAUUAACAUAAACUCAGUCUUAGCAACAUUUAGACUAAGUUUAUUGGCAAUUAGCCAUUUCCUAAGUUUUUCCAAAUCAGAAUUCACUGCAGUUUCAAGAUCAGUAAUAGAGUUUCCAGAAACUGUCAGGUUCGUAUCGUCAGCAAACAACCGAGGUUUUGUUUUAUCCAGGCAUUAUUUCAGUAUUUUGGUGUCAUAUUAUUAUGCAAAUAAUGAAUGUUUUCAUUCGUACAAUAAUAAAAACAUUUUCAAUCGGUGCAUGAAGGAUGGAAUUUUCCCAUUGUACAAAUUUUCACCAUUGUACUCAUAAAUAAUUCAUUAUUUGCAUACUAUUCCACUGAUGUAAACUUUUACAUUUUUAUUGGUUAGCCUGUAAUGUAGGCGUCAACUUCGGCCUUUCGCCACCACCGCAGCACCUGCCUGCAAGGCUACUCGUUUGGUGCGCCUUAGUGCAAAAGUUCAGUAUUAUACCAAAAAACGAGUUUAUCAAUUACUCUUUUACGGCUACGUACGCCUUCAAUUAGGCACCGCACUUAAUGAAGCACCUGGCUUCGCAUAGAGUUGUUCCACAACAGCUACAUUACGUCUCAAAUCUUUAAUCAGCUCCGGAAAUUUUUUCGAGCGCCUAUAUUGCGGUGUUUUUAAGUUCUAAGUCAGUGUACUUCAAUGCUCUCUGAUUCAAUACUCCAUGAAGGCAGACACAUAUAAAACUAGAAGUCACUCAGGAUCUGCAUCAUGCACAAAUUAUACAAUGGGCUAAUUAUGUAUUCGAUUUACUCUGCCCGGCAAAGCGAGAAUUUCUCAUCCAAUUUUCAUCCGAAUUCAACCAAAAUUUAAUCAAUUUGGUCUUGGUCAAUGUACAUUAGUCCCACAAAUUUUAGAGUUAACACAUUUGAUAUUUGUUAAGUUAUCGUGCCGAUAAACAAACACACACAUACAAACAAACAAACGGGGUUGAAAACUGUUGUAUCCAAAUGCUGAUUGGUCAGCUGAAGUGAUUGACAUAUAAGAUUAGGUCACGAGACAUUAGAUUAGGAGACGCUAAGCCAGAGAGCAAGUAUAGAUGUAUA